rnacentral:rRNA from 1 species
GAUGAACGCUGACAGAAUGCUUAACACAUGCAAGUCAACUUGAAUUUGGGUUUUUAACUUAGGUUUGGGUGGCGGACGGGUGAGUAACGCGUAAAGAACUUGCCUCACAGCUAGGGACAACAUUUGGAAACGAAUGCUAAUACCUAAUAUUAUGAUAAUAGGGCAUCCUAUAAUUAUGAAAGCUAUAAGCGCUGUGAGAGAGCUUUGCGUCCCAUUAGCUAGUUGGAGAGGUAACGGCUCACCAAGGCGAUGAUGGGUAGCCGGUCUGAGAGGGUGAUCGGCCACAAGGGGACUGGGACACGGCCCUUACUCAUACGGGAGGCAGGAGUGGGUAAUAUUGGACAAUGGACCGAGAGUCUGAUGCAGCAAUUCUGUGUGCACGAUGAAGUUUUUCGGAAUGUAAAGUGCUUUCAGUUGGGAAGAAACAAAUGACGGUACCAACAGAAGAAGUAACGGCUAAAUACGUG